rnacentral:rRNA from 1 species
GACGAACGCUGGCGGCGUGCCUAAUACAUGCAAGUUGAGCGAUGAAGAUUGGUGCUUGCACCAAUUUGAAGAGCAGCGAACGGGUGAGUAACGCGUGGGGAAUCUGCCUUUGAGCGGGGGACAACAUUUGGAAACGAAUGCUAAUACCGCAUAACAACUUUAAACAUAAGUUUUAAGUUUGAAAGAUGCAAUUGCAUCACUCAAAGAUGAUCCCGCGUUGUAUUAGCUAGUUGGUGAGGUAAAGGCUCACCAAGGCGAUGAUACAUAGCCGACCUGAGAGGGUGGUCGGGCAAAUUGGGACUGAGACACGGCCCAAGCUCCUACGGGAGGCAGCAGUAGGGAAACUUCGGCAAUGGACGGAAGUCUGACCGGGCAACGCCGCGUGAGUGAAGAAGGUUUUCGGAUCGGAAAACUCUGUUGGUAGGGAAGAACGUUGGUGGGAGUGGAAAGCUCAUCAAGUGACGGUAACUACCCAGAAAGGGACGGCUAACUACGUG